rnacentral:lncRNA from 1 species
UGGCUGCUAAGCCGCGCCGGUCUAUAUAUUAUACGUCUUACGUAAAAAUGAUCUAAAUAAAUAAAGAGAAGAAGAAUUUUAAAAUUUCAACUUUGAACUACUGGCGUCCAUAUUUAUUGUUAUUUGUUUUUGUCGUGAACUUGGACAAGGAAAGAUCCUUAUUUAAGAUUGUGAACAUUCACUGAACCACAACUGAACAUUGCGAUUGUUAUUGUUGUUAUGUGUUAAGUUGUUUAGUUUUCACGAAUUUCACGUUUCAAUUCAAUUGUUCUGUUCGUGUCUUCCUCUCACUGGUUCUUGUUCAAGUUCAAUUCAACUCAACUAAAAUUCGGUGAUCAUGAUGUGUUGUAGGUUGUAGUUGUAUUGGAAACAUCGUCUGCGGUAAACAUUAGGUUUGAAAAUCCCUCUCAAAAACUUGAAGGCUACACCCAAGCAGAAUUUUAAGAGAAUUAGACAAUAGAUAUAAGUACAGACACUGAUCGCUGAGGGGCAAGACAAAAGUGUUUCCUCCAGUGUUAACGAAGGACAUAACCCAUAAAAAGAAGAAAAUAUGGUGGGGUUAUUGUGACCUUGUUUCAUGUUAAUAUGGUUCUGAAUUGAAAAUAUAUUCCUAGUACACCACUUGUACACUUGGUUACUCUACUCUGGAGUAUAAACACAAUACUGAAACAGAUAAAAUCAUGUCUGAUCACAUAGGAGUAAAACAAGAAUUUAGUGAAGUGU